CAAUAGCGUAUAUUUAAGUUGUUGCUGUUAAAAAGCUCGUAGUUGGAUUUCGGUUAAGAGCGACCGGUCCGCCGUUUGGUGUGCACUGGUUGGUUUUAACUUCCUGUAGAGGACGUGCUCCGGGUUUAACGACCUGGACUCGGAGUCUACGUGGUUACUUUGAAAAAAUUAGAGUGUUCAAAGCGGGCUUACGCUUGAAUAUUUCAGCAUGGAAUAACACUAUAGGACUCCUGUCCUAUUUCGUUGGUCUCGGGACGGGAGUAAUGAUUAAGAGGGACAGUUGGGGGCAUUUGUAUUUCGGCGCUAGAGGUGAAAUUCUUAGAUUGCCGAAAGACAAACUGCUGCGAAAGCGUCUGCCAAGGAUGUUUUCAUUGA
rnacentral:rRNA from 1 species